CCUACGGGAGGCAGCAGUAGGGAAUCUUCGGCAAUGGGGGCAACCCUGACCGAGCAACGCCGCGUGAGUGAAGAAGGUUUUCGGAUCGUAAAGCUCUGUUGUAAGAGAAGAACGAGUGUGAGAGUGGAAAGUUCACACUGUGACGGUAACUUACCAGAAAGGGACGGCUAACUACGUGCCAGCAGCCGCGGUAAUACGUAGGUCCCGAGCGUUAUCCGGAUUUAUUGGGCGUAAAGCGAGCGCAGGCGGUUAGAUAAGUCUGAAGUUAAAGGCUGUGGCUUAACCAUAGUACGCUUUGGAAACUGUUUAACUUGAGUGCAAGAGGGGAGAGUGGAAUUCCAUGUGUAGCGGUGAAAUGCGUAGAUAUAUGGAGGAACACCGGUGGCGAAAGCGGCUCUCUGGCUUGUAACUGACGCUGAGGCUCGAAAGCGUGGGGAGCAAACAGGAGUAGAUACCCGAGUAGUC
rnacentral:rRNA from 1 species